ACAUGGUGGUUUAAUUCGAUGCAACGCGAAGAACCUUACCUACUCUUGACAUCCAGAGAACUUUCCAGAGAUGGAUUGGUGCCUUCGGGAACUCUGAGACAGGUGCUGCAUGGCUGUCGUCAGCUCGUGUUGUGAAAUGUUGGGUUAAGUCCCGCAACGAGCGCAACCCUUAUCCUUUGUUGCCAGCGGUUAGGCCGGGAACUCAAAGGAGACUGCCAGUGAUAAACUGGAGGAAGGUGGGGAUGACGUCAAGUCAUCAUGGCCCUUACGAGUAGGGCUACACACGUGCUACAAUGGCGCAUACAAAGAGAAGCGACCUCGCGAGAGCAAGCGGACCUCAUAAAGUGCGUCGUAGUCCGGAUUGGAGUCUGCAACUCGACUCCAUGAAGUCGGAAUCGCUAGUAAUCGUGGAUCAGAAUGCCACGGUGAAUACGUUCCCGGGCCUUGUACACACCGCCCGUCACACCAUGGGAGUGGGUUGCAAAAGAAGUAGGUAGCUUAACCUUCGGGAGGGCGCUUACCACUUUGUGAUUCAUGACUGGGGUGAAGUCGUAACAAGGUAACCGUAGGGGAACCUGCGGCUGAUAAACCUCCAUAAAA
rnacentral:rRNA from 1 species